rnacentral:rRNA from 1 species
CCUACGGGAGGCAGCAGUGGGGAAUAUUGCACAAUGGGGGAGACCCUGAUGCAGCGACGCCGCGUGAGUGAAGAAGUAAUUCGUUAUGUAAAGCUCUAUCAGCAGGGAAGAAAAUGACGGUACCUGAGUAAGAAGCCCCGGCUAACUACGUGCCAGCAGCCGCGGUAAGACGUAGGGGGCAAGCGUUAUCCGGAUUUACUGGGUGUAAAGGGAGCGUAGACGGCAGUGCAAGUCUGGAGUGAAAGGCGGGGGCUCAACCCCCGGACUGCUCUGGAAACUGUACGGCUGGAGUGCAGGAGAGGUAAGUGGAAUUCCUAGUGUAGCGGUGAAAUGCGUAGAUAUUAGGAGGAACACCAGUGGCGAAGGCGGCUUACUGGACUGUAACUGACGUUGAGGCUCGAAAGCGUGGGGAGCAAACAGGAUUAGAUACCCUUGUAGUC